rnacentral:lncRNA from 1 species
AUAGAGUGAGGCUACUAUGCUAUCAGAAGCACGGAGCCUUUCGUGCUUCCAGCUCGUUUUCGAUGUUGCGACUUUCGAAUCAUCGAUCGGCUCCGUUAAACUUGAUCUAGAGUAUUUGGAGUACCUAGAAAUAAAUUUUAUUAUUUUUCGAUAUCAUUUGCCGAGUGAUUGAAUGGGCUCAAAAUCAACAAAUUUCAAUGGCCGUAGUGAGUCGUUUCCAAGUUUAACGGUGUAGAAAUAUUCAAAUCACGUGAAAUUUUGAUAGAAAAUUCUUUAUACUAUAUAAAACAAGAUCAAUAUCUUUGAUUUAAAAUUUUAAUGUC